AUGGAAACUGAAAGAGGAAACCAAGAAAAGGCAAUGGAAGAAGAAAGCACUGAAAAGAAAAAAGGAAGUAGAAAAAAAGAAAAGAUCUCAAGUUAAACAGGUGCUUGCAGAUAUUGCAAAGCAAGUAGACUUUUGGUUUGGGGAUGCAAAUCUUCACAAGGACCAAUUUCUUUGAGAGCAGAUAGAAAAAUCUAGAGAUGGAUAUGUGGAUAUAUUACUUCUGGUGUCCUUCAACAAAAUGAAAAAAUUAACUACUGAUGGGAAGUUAAUAGCCAGAGCUUUGAAAAGUUCAGCUGUUGUAGAGCUGGAUUUAGAAGGCACCAGAAUCAGAAGGAAAAAGCCCCUGGGUGAAAGACCAGAGGUUGAGGAUGAGUGGACAGCGUAUGUGGAGUUACUUCCUAAAAAUGUUAAUCACAGCUGGAUUGAAAGAGUAUUUGGGAAAUGUGGCAAUGUUGUUUACAUAAGUAUACCACAUUACAAGUCUACUGGAGAUCCGAAGGGAUUUGCCUUUGUGGAAUUUGAAACAAAAGAACAAGCAGCAAAAGCUAUUGAGUUUCUUAAAAACCCACCAGAAGAAGCACGGAGAAAAUCUGGCAUAUUUCCUAAGACAGUAAAAAAUAAUCUCAUUCCUUCCUUAAGAGCAGCUGAAGAAAAGAAAAAAGAAGAAAAUAGGCCAAAUGAAGAAAAAGGACAAUGUCCAGGUAGGAGAGUUCAAUAUUGACUCAAGCAAUGUGAGCGUCUGUAAAAUGAAAAGAUUGAGAACCACGUCUGAGAGCUCUGAAGCAGAAACUACUGAGCCUCCAAAGCAACCCUCCAAGAAAAAGAAAAAAAGAGAAAGAGUCGAAGUAUUUAGCACACCUGAGGUCAGCUCUUCCUGAGGGAAGAGGAAGAGAAGCAGCUCUGAAGAUGCAGAAGCCCUAACUCCCAGAUCAAAAGUAAACCAAAUGGCUCAGAAAGACACGGUUCAAAAAGAAGCUUCAAAAGUUUCUAAAGAAAACAGAGAUUUAGAAGUCUCUGUUGAAGAGAAAAAGGAUACUACAGACAUAAAAGAUAGCUCUCUCUUAAAAGCAAAAAGGAAACAUAAGAAAAAACAUAACGAGUGACAUAACAUGGGAGAAGUUAUACCAUUGAGAGUAUUGUCAAAGAGUGAAUGGAUGGAUUUGAAAAAAGAGUAUUUAGCCCUACAAAAAGCUAGCAUGGCUUCUUUGAAAAAAACAAUAUCCCAAAUAAAAUCGGAGUCAAAAACGGAAACCGGUGGUGGGGUACCUCCUAAUUCUGAAACAAAAGAUGAAAAAAACAACAGUAAAGAGUACCCCCCCCCCGCCCUCCAGGAGAAAGUUAAUACAAAUACAAUGGAACCGCAAUUUGUGAGUGGAGUGACUGUGAAGAUCGUUAGCACUGAGCCUCUACCUGGCAGGAAACAAGUCCGGGCUACUUUGGCGGCCAUCUCCGAAGUUGUUUAUGUUGAUUUGCUAGAAGGAGAUACAGAAUGCCAUGCUCGAUUUAAAACUCCUGAGGAUGCUCAAGCAAUAAUAAGUGCACAUACGGAAAUUAAAAGAAAACACUGCUGGAAAAUUGAGAUCCUUUCUGGUGAUCACGAACAAAGGUACUGGCAGAAGAUUUUGGUUGUAGACAGGCCAAGCUUAGUCAGCCUCAGGAAAAGAAAAGAGGCGCUGAAAAGUUAAUCACCAAAGCAGAAAAGAUUCGACUGGCAAAGACUCAACAAGCAAGUAAACACAUAAGAUUUUCUGAAUAUGAUUAA